rnacentral:rRNA from 1 species
GACGAACGCUGGCGGCGUGCCUAAUACAUGCAAGUCGAACGCUUCUUUCCUCCCGAGUGCUUGCACUCAAUUGGAAAGAGGAGUGGCGGACGGGUGAGUAACACGUGGGUAACCUACCCAUCAGAGGGGGAUAACACUUGGAAACAGGUGCUAAUACCGCAUAACAGUUUAUGCCGCAUGGCAUAAGAGUGAAAGGCGCUUUCGGGUGUCGCUGAUGGAUGGACCCGCGGUGCAUUAGCUAGUUGGUGAGGUAACGGCUCACCAAGGCCACGAUGCAUAGCCGACCUGAGAGGGUGAUCGGCCACACUGGGACUGAGACACGGCCCAGACUCCUACGGGAGGCAGCAGUAGGGAAUCUUCGGCAAUGGACGAAAGUCUGACCGAGCAACGCCGCGUGAGUGAAGAAGGUUUUUC